GCUCUUUAGUAACUAUUUAAGGAUCCAUUUAAAAAAAAAAAACAUUAGUUUAUACUGCAUAUAUGCAAUAGUCUCUAUAUAUCUUAAGAGUGAGUCCAUUGAAGAAGAGGAGAAAAUCAGAGAGGGCCUGUGAAUGCACUAUCUUCUCCUCUUCAACGGCGAUCGCGAUCGCGAUCGCUGUCUCACCCUGUUGGUUCUCUCUCCUCUCUUCCACCGGCGCAUCUCCUCCAAACGCCUCUCGUUCCUAAAUCCACAGAAGGUUGGUGAGAUUAUAAUCAGAUCUGAGGAAAAUGGUGACUCAUUGAAAGUGCGGAGUAGAGCAGUUUGGUAGCUUGCAAGGUCAUCACCUUGAGAUCACGGGUUCAAAUCCUGUCUCCGCUACAUGACAGUUUCCAAUAUUAAUAACUAAUUCCUUAAGUAUUCUCGCCUUUCAAGUAAAGAAGUGUCUUCUUAUCCUAUUUGCUUAUCAUUACAGUUUUCAUUUAUGUAAUUAUGUUGAUUGUAAAAAUUUCAUGCAGCAAUGUUGUGUAUCUGGCAGGAUUCUUAAUUUUUCUGAUGAACAUUGAUGAGCUUGGGGACAACAUUACUAUUUGGUUUUAAGUACAGUUAUUGCUACAUCAUUUGCCCACUCUAUCUGGAGGAGGUGUUGGCAGUUUUCUAAAUUAUGUUUGCUGUUUUGAUAGCUGAACUCCUGUGUUUGAAAGCUCUUCUCUUUCUCUGAUAGGGCACCCUGGAAUAUCAGGUGUCAGCUUUGGCAUAUCAACUCUCCAUUUUUGUAAGAAGGGAGAUUUUUAUGAACGUGGUAUCCAGCUAAAGGAAGUAAAAUGAUUGAAUAGAUGCGUAUGAACCACCUUGGAGACAGUUUCGGGGAUGAACAGAUGGAGCAGUGGAUUUCUUAAACCCCCAAUUAAUCCAGCGUUGGGGAUAUCACGGUUUCUUUGUUUUAACAGUACAAAGGCUGAACUCUUUGGAGUGCCUGUUGUCGAGCCGCCAGGUGUGAACCAUCAUAUAUUUAUCUUUUUCAAUAAUGUGGCUAUUUACAGAAAUCUUUUGUUGCCUCAUUUGAAGUCAUUAUGUAUUUGAUUAUGUAGUCAUUGACACAUUUAUGUUGUAGAGUUCUGAAGAGGCAUCAUCAUUGCACUUGUGAUUAUGACAUGCUUGUGAAAACUCUUCUGUUCAUUUUUAUCCUUGGUGAAGCUGCUUAGCCUUCUGGUGCAGUUGUGUGCAAGCAGUUUGUUGAGUUGUGGGCUCCACCUACUGCACUAAUUUAUAUUUUCAAUUAAAAACUUCUGCAUGGUUGGUAAGAAAGCAUUCACUGCUUGGUCUGAGCUGAACUUUUGGAUGGUCAACUUCCAUUUCAUGUUGUAUCAUUUAUGAAAUUAGGCCAUUUCAGCAGCUGAGUUGUUUUGUGUGUGUGUGACUUGGUUGACUAGUUGGUUGAAGUGUUGGUGUUUAAUUGCUUGUUGUUUCAUUUCCAGGAUUUCAGUGGUUGCUUAGUUUUUUAUGGCAUCUGACGAGGCACUAUACCUUCCCUUGGAAAUAUUUAGGCUUGUCAGUACUGUCCAUUUUGUGGGUGGUGGAGCUUCUGCUCGCUCUUUGCUUCAUGGUGUUUGCUGGCAGCAGUUCCCUGUUUGCUGUUAAUGUUUUUCCUUUUGUGGAGCAUGUUCCCUGGUCCCCACUUUUUUAGCGGUUCGCAUUCUACAGUUCUACUUUCUUUAAACAGUUACUAACUAAUUUUCCCCAACUACUUGUACAUUUAGCAACAAAACAGAACUAGUUCAUUCAAUAUUUCUGUGUAUUAACUUUUUUUUUUUUUU